UACGUAGGGUGCAAGCGUUAAUCGGAAUUACUGGGCGUAAAGCGUGCGCAGGCGGUUGUGCAAGACAGAUGUGAAAUCCCCGGGCUCAACCUGGGAAUUGCAUUUGUGACUGCACGGCUAGAGUGUGUCAGAGGGGGGUAGAAUUCCACGUGUAGCAGUGAAAUGCGUAGAGAUGUGGAGGAACACCGAUGGCGAAGGCAGCCCCCUGGGCUGAGAUUGACGCUCAGGCACGAAAGCGUGGGGAGCAAACAGG
rnacentral:rRNA from 1 species